CUACGGGGCGCUCCAGUGGGGAAUAUUGCACAAUGGGCGCAAGCCUGAUGCAGCCAUGCCGCGUGUAUGAAGAAGGCCUUCGGGUUGUAAGUACUUUCAGCGGGGAGGAAGGGAGUAAAGUUAAUACCUUUGCUCAUUGACGUUACCCGCAGAAGAAGCACCGGCUAACUCCGUGCCAACAGCCGCGGUAAUACGGAGGGUGCAAGCGUUAAUCGGAAUUACUGGGCGUAAAGCGCACGCAGGCGGUUUGUUAAGUCAGAUGUGAAAUCCCCGGGCUCAACCUGGGAACUGCAUCUGAUACUGGCAAGCUUGAGUCUCGUAGAGGGGGGUAGAAUUCCAGGUGUAGCGGUGAAAUGCGUAGAGAUCUGGAGGAAUACCGGUGGCGAAGGCGGCCCCCUGGACGAAGACUGACGCUCAGGUGCGAAAGCGUGGGGAGCAAACAGGAUUAGAUACCCUUGUAGUC
rnacentral:rRNA from 1 species